AUCUCAAUAUAUGAUUAUACGGUCCUCAUGAAGGAGAACUUGUACGAAGUCAACUUUGAUCGCAUUGAACAAAUUUACCGGAUGAACUGCAAGAUAUUUACUUCACCGAUUGUUCUGGAACUCGGAGGACAGCGGAUAUCACUUCAUCACAGUUGAGAAUUCUGCGAAUGAAAGACACUCAUGACAGCACAGAGCUAUCUAGUAAUUCAAUCCAACCUGCUCCAACCUGCUGCGGCCAGCCAUCUAUUUGGAUCACAACGAGUUAAGGAAUAAAACUGAACAAAUUUUAUACGCAUUUUACAAACUUAUAGAUAGUCCGAUUGUUUUGAAAUUAAAACUGCUCAAAUAUCACAGGAGAAUAGUUUGCGAAACAUCAAAUACCGUAAAUGCCAGCCACUUGAAAUGACUGAACGGCGAACAUGGAACGCGCAUGGUUGGAUUUCUAUUUUCGGCUGCGCACGCGGAGUCGAUUAAGGCUGAUGACGGCGCGUUUGUAAUCUUCAACGAGUUUGAUCGUUUCCGGACACAGCGCUGACUUUAAUCGCGUAUCCAGUAUCCGGCGGUUGAUUAUCACCGUUACCUUGUUCUUCCGUUCGAGAAAUCGUAUAACAGCGCCAUACAUAUAUGGCCUGCUCCUUUUCCAUUUUCCGACUUCCGAGUAAAAAUAGAUGAAGCGCAUAGGGAGUUAGUCUCAGCAAUCGUUGUUUCUGCAACUCCGCCGUACCAUUGAAGCCUUUAUUAGAACAUUGUAAGAUUAAAGUAAAAAUCACUAUUUUCUGUUCAGGUAUUAAUGCUCAGUAUUAUGUAUGUUUACGGCAUUAUAGUUGUUUAUUGUAUUUGCUAUAUAAUUGUAUCACUUAUUUAAUUUAUCGCAUUAUAAUAAGUGAAGCAUAAUUAAAGAAGAAUUGAUACAGUAUUCACAAUUUCGACAUUGGACUUUUUAAACAAUAAA